rnacentral:misc_RNA from 1 species
AGCAGCCGCGGUAAUUCCAGCUCCAAUAGCGUAUAUUAAAGUUGUUGCAGUUAAAAGCUCGUAGUUGAAUUUCGGAAUCAAUGGAUCGGUCAUGCCACUCGGUGUGUACUGGUUUGAUUGGUUCUCACCUUCUAAGGAACCGUGAUGUCAUUAAUUUGGUGUCGCGGGAAUUAGGACUGUUACUUUGAAAAAUUGAGUGUUUAAAGCAAGCUCACGCUUGAAUACAUUAGCAUGGAAUAAUGAAAUAGGACAUUGUAUUCUAUUUUGUUGGUUUCUAGGAUCGAUGUAAUGAUUAAUAGGGAUAGUUGGGGGCAUUAGUAUUCAAUUGUCAGAGGUGAAAUUCUUGGAUUUAUUGAAGACUAACUACUGCGAAAGCAUUUGCCAAGGAUGUUUCAUUAAUCAAGAACGAAAGUUAGGGGAUCGAAGACGAUCAGAUACCGUCGUAGUCUUAACCAUAAACUAUGCCGACUAGGGAUCGGAUGAUGUUUAAUUUUUAAUUGACUCAUUCC